rnacentral:rRNA from 1 species
AAUGGGCGCAAGCCUGAUCCAGCCAUGCCGCGUGAGUGAUGAAGGCCCUAGGGUCGUAAAGCUCUUUCGCCUGUGAAGAUAAUGACAGUAGCAGGUAAAGAAACCCCGGCUAACUCCGUGCCAGCAGCCGCGGUAAUACGGAGGGGGUUAGCGUUGUUCGGAAUUACUGGGCGUAAAGCGCGCGUAGGCGGAUUAGUCAGUCAGAGGUGAAAUCCCAGGGCUCAACCCUGGAACUGCCUUUGAUACUGCUAGUCUUGAGUUCGAGAGAGGUAAGUGGAAUUCCGAGUGUAGAGGUGAAAUUCGUAGAUAUUCGGAGGAACACCAGUGGCGAAGGCGGCUUACUGGCUCGAUACUGACGCUGAGGUGCGAAAGUGUGGGGAGCAAACAGGAUU